rnacentral:rRNA from 1 species
AACGAACGCUGGCGGCAUGCCUAACACAUGCAAGUCGAACGAGACCUUCGGGUCUAGUGGCGCACGGGUGCGUAACGCGUGGGAACCUGCCCUUAGGUUCGGAAUAACUCCCCGAAAGGGGUGCUAAUACCGGAUAAUGUCUUCGGACCAAAGAUUUAUCGCCUUUGGAUGGGCCCGCGUUGGAUUAGCUAGUUGGUAGGGUAAAAGCCUACCAAGGCGACGAUCCAUAGCUGGUCUGAGAGGAUGAUCAGCCACACUGGGACUGAGACAGGGUCCAGACGCUUACGGGAUGCAGCAGAGGGGAAUAUCGCACACUGGGGGAAAGCCGGAUGCAUGAAGGACGCGUGAGUGAAGAAGGCCUUCUGGUUGUAGAGUCAUUGUGUUGGUAAAGAAAAACUGCAGGUUGAAACCCCGCGAUGCUGACGGUACCGAAAGAAUAAGCACCGGCUAACUUCGUG